rnacentral:sRNA from 1 species
CUGUAUGGAUAACUCUCUUGCUUCACAUUUUAGCUCACAUUUCACCUUAAUGAGACCUACCCCAGCCACCCUCUUGAAUGCUCCAACUUGUUCCUUCUCCCACUGUCUUCUCAAUCUUCCUAAUUUGCCUCGACAUUUUCUUCUUACCUUAGAACUCACCACUUUCUAAGAUACUAAGUAUGCUGUUUAUUAUGUUUCUUUUUUAUUUUCUAUCUUCUGUUAGGAUGUAAGCCUCAUGAGGGUUGGAAUCUUUGUUUUGGUUGCUGUUGUAUCCUAAGCAUCUAGAACAGUGAUGCCUCUGUCUUAAUAAGUACUGUAUAAAUAUUGUUUGAAUUCAGUGAAAGAUAGUAUAUUUACUGAUUUGGGAGGGCUCCCAUUACCUAGGAUAUUUAAUUUAGUAGACUUUGUUGUUAUCUGAUUAGUAAAGCAUGGUUAUCUAGUAUACCAUCUAUAGUUUGGAAAUAGCAUCGUUAUGAGAAAUUUUAUUUAUUUAUUUAUUUGAGACCAAGUCUCGUUCUGUCGCCCAGGCUGGAGAGCAGUGGCGCAAUCUCGGCUCACUGCAGCCUCCACCUCCCAGGUUCAGUUGAUUCUGCCUCAGCCUCCCAAGGGAUUACAGGCGCAUGCCACCAUAACCAGCUAAUUUUUGUAUUUUUAGAAGAUGGGGUUUCACCAUGUUGGCCAGACUGGUCUCAAACUCCUGACCUCAAGUGAUCCACCCACCUUGGCCUCCCAAAGUGCUGGGAUUACAGGCUUGAGCCACCAUGCUCGGCCAGAAUUUUAUUUUUUAUUGCUUUUAUUUGUGCUUUUACAUCUUUUUAAUGAUGCUUAUUGGACUCCAAAGUCCUCAAGUAGUAGCAUUGUCUUUUACUUGCUUUGGACUAUAUGUAACAUGAGGCAUCUAAAUAGAUCAUGAAUUAUUCUUGUUGAUUAAUAGGUAGAAAGAAUAGGCAAUCCAGGACAGGGAAAUAGAAAUACAGUAAAAGAUUCUGGGUAGGUGUUAGUAAAUUAAGGACAUGUGCCUGAGGCUUCCUCUUUUCCUCUCCUAGGGCAUCUGACUGGAAAUUAGACCAGCCUGAUUGGACUGGUCGCCUCCGAAUCACUUCAAAAGGGAAGACUGCCUAUAUCAAACUCGAGGAUAAAGUUUCAGGGGAGCUCUUUGCUCAGGCACCAGUAGAACAAUAUCCUGGUAUUGCUGUGGAGACAGUGACAGAUUCCAGCCGCUACUUUGUAAUCCGGAUCCAGGAUGGUACUGGGCGCAGUGCUUUCAUUGGCAUUGGCUUCACAGAUCGGGGAGAUGCCUUCGACUUUAAUGUCUCCUUGCAGGAUCACUUCAAGUGGGUAAAGCAGGAAUCUGAGAUUUCCAAGGAAUCUCAAGAAAUGGAUGCUCGUCCUAAGUUGGAUCUGGGCUUCAAGGAAGGACAAACCAUCAAGUUGAGUAUCGGGAACAUUACAAACAAGAAAGGAGGUGCUUCCAAGCCCAGGACUGCAAGGGGUGGGGGCCUGAGCUUACUCCCACCCCCGCCAGGAGGCAAAGUCACUAUUCCCCCACCAUCCUCCUCAGUUGCCAUCAGCAAUCAUGUCACCCCACCACCCAUUCCGAAAUCUAACCAUGGAGGCAGUGAUGCAGAUAUCCUUUUAGAUUUGGAUUCUCCUGCUCCUGUCACGACACCAGCACCAACUCCAGUUUCUGCAAGCAAUGACUUGUGGGGAGACUUCAGCACUGCAUCCAGCUCUGUUCCAAACCAGGCACCACAGCCAUCCAACUGGGUCCAGUUCUGAAUGGCAUUGGCAGGACAUUAAGGACAGACUUGAGGAAUAAAAAUGACCUUGAGGGCACCAAUCUGUGAGGGAAGUUAGGAACCCAUUUCCUCCCCAGAAUCAAAAUGACUGGACAAUCUUUUUCGUAGCUUCUCCAUCACAUUCAAGCUGGUUUAUGUCACUCCCCUGUGUUGUUACUUGUACAGCCAAGAAAGUAUCUGUUAAUCUCCUGCUUAGUACCAAGGUAGGGGACUAGUGAAUCUUAUCAUAGUUUUGGCUGACUAUGCAGGGCUCAAAAGGCCAGCGUCUGUUUGAGGGGGAAUGACCUCUGACAUCUGUAAAAUUUGUCUCAUCUUUUAAAUUCUUUAACUUAUUUCAAAAUCAUCUCAUGACCCUCGUGUGCCUCUUUGUGAAGCCCUAUUUAGCAAUUUCAGGGGAGUCAAAAACCUUGCAACUUCCUUCUCCACUAACCCAGGACUAAAAAUGGACAGGCUGACCUUAGUGUUUACAAAUUCAGAAUUUUGAUAGGGGUAGAUAUGGAGAAAGACCUAUUUCCUGGGUCUCUGCUGUGUAGUCUCCUUCAGGCUUAUUGUACACAGUGAACAUCCAGUGCUGGGUGCAGCUCCAUCACCCUCUUGUGUGUUUACAUGUCUCUUUCUAUGAUAAGAGGGUUGUGUUGGUGGCACCUCCACUACUCUUUUCUGUUUGUUGAAUUUGAAUUGUGUAACAUCUUUGACCAGUGGGUGUUUCUGUAAUGAAGGAGGUUCAAGAGGCUGUGCUUUCCAAGUGAUAGUCUAUAGGAAUGUUUGAUUUCUUGCAGCUCCAUCUGGUUGCUGCAUUUGAAGCAUGGCAUUAAUUUGUAUUUGCCCUGUUGUUUGACCUUAAGUUGAAGGGUUUAGAGUUUUUAACCUGAUCUGUAGAGCAGAGAGGUUGAAAGCACUUAACUCUUGUUUAGUAUCCUCAUUGCCUUGCUGCCUGGGUAUCUGGCCCCUUUUCAUAAACAUUUCUUUUCAGUUCAUGUAGUUCUUUAAUAGAAAGCUGCUAUUAUGUAUAUUGUCAUUUGUGAAGGAAGUUGGAGAGUCACAGAUUUACUGUGACAGGUUUUGCCCAAGUCUGUGAUACCUGUCACCCAGGGUAUCUUAAAAGCAAGUUGUUCUCCCACUACUUUCCUUUCCCUCUGCCCUGCCAUUCCUUUUACAAUGCUGUGAAAAAAGUUCUGCUUCUUAGGUGAAUGGGUACUUUCUAUUUUGUUUCUAAAUGAGCAAUUUUGAGGAUGAAAUGGGAAGAUAUCAUUUCUUCCUUUUUGCACCUAUUAGGUAUGUACACUCUCUGGCUGAAGGGAGUCCUUAUGUUUAGUUUCAAAAUAUAUUACUUUCCUGGAUUCCCUUCUUAACGUUUUCUGACUUUGGGUCCAUUUUCUUUUCAUUGCCUCCUUUUCCAGGCAGCUCUAUUCUUGCAGAGCCAUGGCAGGACAUAUUAAAAUUCCAGUAGAAAACACUAAAAGGAAAGUCUGUAGAAUCACUAGUGACUAAAUACUGGGAACCUAUUUUCUCAAUCUUCCUCCAUGUUGUGUUCUUUGUAUUCUCAAGAUGAUAAUAUAUUAUGUAUUUGAAUUCCUGAAAAAUGGAAAAUGUUUAAGAUAUAUGUAUAUAAAGCAUAUGCUGUAUUGGUGCAAUAAUGGUAAUUAAAAAUAUGAAAA